rnacentral:rRNA from 1 species
CCUACGGGAGGCAGCAGGGAGGAAUAUUGGUCAAUGGACGAGAGUCGGAACCAGCCAAGUAGCGUGAAGGAUGACUGCCCGAGGGGUUGUAAACUUCUUUUAUAAAGGAAUAAAACGAGGCACGUGUGCCUUUUUGCAUGUAAUUUAUGAAUAAGGAUCGGCUAACUACGUGCCAGCAGCCGCGGUAAUACGGAGGAUCCGAGUGUUAUCCGGAUUUAUUGGGUUUAAAGGGAGCGUAGAUGGGUUGUUAAGUCAUUUGUGAAAGUUUGCGGCUCAACCGUAAAAUUGCAAUUGAUACUGGCAGUCUUGCGUUCAGUUGAGCUCGGCGGACUUCGUGGUGUAGCGG